UACGUAGGGUCCGAGCGUUGUCCGGAAUUACUGGGCGUAAAGAGCUCGUAGGUGGUUUGUCGCGUUGUCCGUGAAAACUCACAGCUCAACUGUGGGCGUGCGGGCGAUACGGGCAGACUGGAGUACUGCAGGGGAGACUGGAAUUCCUGGUGUAGCGGUGGAAUGCGCAGAUAUCAGGAGGAACACCGGUGGCGAAGGCAGAUCUCUGGGCCGUAACUGACGCUGAGGAGCGAAAGCAUGGGGAGCGAACAGG
rnacentral:rRNA from 1 species